ensembl:snoRNA
AUGUUUUAUGAUUUAUAAGUAUGAUGAUUUGGUUUUCAUACUGUUGUGUGAGAUGUGCCUCCUUCAAACUUUGUUAAGACAUUGGUACAGUACUCAACUGAGG